CUAAGUGGUAAAGGAUGUUUUGUUGCUGAGACAGCCAGGAUGUUGGCGUAGAAGUGGCAACCAUUUAAAGAGUGUGUAAUAACUCACUGGUUGAGCGAUUUUGCACCGAAAAUUUCCGGGGCUAAGCGUAUUACCGAAGCUAUGGAUGUAUAUUUCUUUAUAUCUAAUAUAAAGACAAAAUAUAUGUGGUAGGGGAGCGUUCUAUAGUAGGACUGAAGGAGGACCGUGAGGUACUCUGGACGAAUUAGAAGUGAUUAUGCCGGCAUGAGUAGCGAUAAAACAAGUAAGAAGCUUGUUCGCCGAAAGCCUAAGGGUUCCUGGGCAAGGCAAUUCCGCCCAGGGUUAGUCGGAUCCUAAGUCGAGGCCGAAAGGCGUAGACGAUGGGAAGCAGGCGUAAUAUUCCUGCACCACCAUGACUAGAUUGAUACUAGGGGAGACGCAAGUAUUAGGAACUACCAGCUGAUGGAUAUGCUGGGUUAAGCCCGACGGAGUGUACCAGGUAAAUCCGGUACAUCAAACUCCGGGAGGUGAACAGGAUUCCGUAAGGAUGCAAACUGUUCCGGUUACUUGCCAAGAAAAGAACCUCGAGUGGACGAAUCAUGGUGACCGUACCGUAAACCGACACAGGUAGGCGAGGAGAGAAUCCUAAGGCGCCCGAGAGAACUCUCGCUAAGGAACUCGGCAAAAUGACCCCGUAACUUCGGGAGAAGGGGUGCUUUUAGUACGUGCCGCGUUUCGCACGCGAAACCGAAAAAAGCCGCAGUGAAAUGGCCCAUGCGACUGUUUACUAAAAACACAGGUCUCUGCUAAAUCGUAAGAUGAUGUAUAGGGACUGACGCCUGCCCGGUGCCAAAAUGUUAAGGCGAGGAGUCAAGGGUAACCGGAAGCUCCGAACUGAAGCACUGGUAAACGGCGGCCGUAACUAUAGCGGUCCUAAGGUAGCGAAAUUCCUCGUCGGGUAAAUUCCGACCUGCACGAAUGGCGUAACGACAUGGGCACUGUCUCGGCGAGAGACUCGGUGAAAUUGUAAUACCGGUGAAGAUGCCGGUUACCCGUACCAAGACGGAAAGACCCCGUGAACCUUUACUAUAGCUUGAUAUUGGGUUUUAAUGCUGCAUGUGUAGGAUAGGUGGGAGACUUUGAAACUGGGGCGCUAGCUUCAGUGGAGUCGUCCUUGAAAUACCACUCUUGUUGCAUUGGAAUUCUAACUCCGGCACGUGAAUCCGUGUCGAGGACAGUGUCAGGUGGGUAGUUUGGCUGGGAUGGUCGCCUCCUAAAAUGUAACGGAGGCACCCUAAGGUUCCCUCAGCGCGAUUGGAACCGCGCGUAGAGUGCAAAGGCAGAAGGGAGCUUAACUGCAAGACGGACACGUCAAGCAGAUGCGAAAGCAGGGCUUAGUGAUCUUACGGUGCUGUGUGGAAAGGCCGUAACUCAUUGGAUAAAAGGUACUCCGGGGAUAACAGGCUAGUCGCCCCCGAGCGCUCACAGCUACGGGGCGGUUCGGCACCUCGAUGUCGGCUCGUCACAUCCUGGGGCUGCAGCAGGUCCCAAGGGUUUGGCUGUCCUCCGAUUAAAGUGGCACGCGAGCUGGGUUUAGAACGGCGUAAGCCAGUUCGGUCCCUAUCUGGUACGGGCGUAGGAUAUUUGAGUGGAGCUGCCCCUAGUAUGAGAAGACCGGGGUGGAUGUACCUCUAGUGCACCAGUUGUCACGCCAGUGGCAUCGCUGGGUAGCUAUGUGCAGAAAGGAGAAACGCUGAAAGCAUAUAAGCGUGAAACCUACCUCAAGAUAAGAUAUCCCACAACGUUAAGUUGGUAAGACUCCUUUGAGAUCAGGAGGUUGAUAGGCCAGAUGUGUACGCCGUGCGAGCGGUUCAGCUAACUGGUACUAAUAAGUCGAGGGCUUGAUAAC
rnacentral:rRNA from 1 species